rnacentral:rRNA from 1 species
AUGCUGGAUGAUGGCGAUGAUGAUGAUGAUGAGGUAAAUUUUGAGGACGAUGACGAUGAUGAGUUUAAUCUGGCUGAAAUUGUGUGUGACCCCGCUCAUAGGCAACUAAUUGCUGAUUAUCAUCCGAAUAUUCAAGAUCAGGUGAGAAGAGCACACAUAUUGAAGGGUCCAACCCGACCAACUGUCAAAUUUGAUCGCAAAAAAAUUGGAAGCAAGAACCGUGCAUUUUCUAAAAAUUGGUAUAAGAAUUAUGAGUGGUUAGAAUAUAGUGUGUCCGAGCAAGCUGCAUUUUGUUUCUAUUGCUUUCUUUUGGAUUGGAAGCAUGCAUAUCAGGCAUUGCCUGCUCAUGUUGGUGGGGUAAAUAGUGCACACAAAAAGGCAAGAUUGCAUUAUGAUGAUUUUCAUAAUCAAAGGCAAAGCGUGUCUAGUAACUUUGCUAGGUCAUCCAAGGAGUCUGAAGUACUUUACAAAAUUCGGUUGCACACUUCUCUGGGUUGUGCAAGAUAUCUCAUUGCUCAAGGCUUGGCUUUUCAUGGCCAUGAUAAAAGUUCAACUUCACUGAACAAGGGUAACUUCCAUGAGAUGGUAGAUUGGCAUAAAGCUAGUGAUGAAGUGAGGAAUGCUUUUGACCAUGGUAGUUGAAACUGCAAGAUGCUUGCUGCUGAAAUUCAAGAAGAUCUUGCAAAGUGUUGCGCAGAAGAGGUCACCAAAGCGAUCAUGAGAGAAAUUGGUGAUAAGAAAUUCUCUGUGCUUGUCGAUGAGUCAUGUGAUAUAUCUGUCAAAGAGCAAAUGGCGGUGAUGUUGAGGUAUGUCAAUGAUAAAGGGAAAACCGUGGAACGAGUUCUCUCUCUAUACCAUGCCAGUGAGACUACAUCAGAGGCACUAAAGGUAGCUCUUGUUGACAUUCUUGAUCAUCAUAAGUUAUCCAUUCAUAGUCUACGAGGGCAAGGAUAUGAUGGAGCUUAAAAUAUGAGAGGUGAAUUUAAUGGUUUGCAAAAGAAAAUUCUUGACGAGAACCCUUAUGCCUUAUAUGUGAAUUGCUUUGCACAUCGUUUACAAUUGCUGGUUGUCUCGGUUGCUAGUUGUUGCUCCUCUUUCAUGAUUUGUUUGAUCAUAUAUGUGCUUCGUGAGGUCAAUGAUGAAGGGCGUGGACCGUGUCAGGCGGCGGGUUAGAUAGAGAUAAUGGAGAGUUUCAAAUUUGCUUUCGUAUUGCAUCUUAUGAUAAAGUUUCUUGCUAUCACAAAUGAACUCUCACAAGUCUUGUAGAGAAAAGAUAUAAACAUUGUUAAUGCCAUUGAAAUAGUUGGUGAUGUCAAAGCUCGGCUGGCCUCUAUGAGAGAAAGUGGUUGGGAAAGCUUGUUCGACGAAGUCCAACACUUUUGUGUCGCCAAAGGUAUUCCAGUGCCGGAUAUGAAUGAAAGAAUACUGGUCCGAGGUCGUUCAAGGCUUGAUGGUGUGACCUACACCAAUCUUCAUUUCUAUCGAGUUGAGAUCUUCUAUGUCGCCAUUGACAAGAUAUGCACUAAGAUGAAUCAUCGCUUCAAUGAAGCAUCUUCAAAUAUAAUAGUGGCCUUCUCAUGCCUUCAUCCAAAAAAUUCCUUCUCCAAAAGGGUGAGUCUGUUGGUCUUGCAUUCACCUGGGCCAAAGUCUUAG